GGGUCAGUAGGUUGGUCGUGCCACCGGUACGUACUGGUCUCACUGAUUCCUCCUUCCUGAAUAACCGUAAUGCCAUUAAUUUGGUGUUGCGGUGAAACAGGACUGUUACUUUGAAAAAAUUAGAGUGUUUAAAGCAAGCUAACGCUUGAAUACAUUAGCAUGGAAUAAUGAAAUAGGACGAUCGAUCCUAUUUUGUUGGUUUCUAGGAUUGACGUA
rnacentral:rRNA from 1 species